rnacentral:rRNA from 1 species
CUACGGGUCGCUGCAGUGAGGAAUAUUGCACAAUGGGGGGAACCCUGAUGCAGCAACGCCGCGUGGAGGAUGACGCAUUUCGGUGUGUAAACUCCUUUUAUAUGUCAAGAAAAUGACGGUAGCAUAUGAAUAAGCACCGGCUAACUCCGGUGCCAGCAGCCGCGGUAAUACGGAGGGUGCAAGCGUUACUCGGAAUCACUGGGCGUAAAGGAGGCGUAGGCGGGUUGGAAAGUCAGGUGUGAAAUCCUACAGCUUAACUGUAGAACUGCACUUGAAACUUCUAAUCUAGAGUAUGGGAGGGGGAGAUGGAAUUAGUGGUGUAGGGGUAAAAUCCGUAGAUAUCACUAGGAAUACCUAAAGCGAAGGCGAUCCCCUGGAACAUUACUGACGCUAAGGCGUGAAAGCGUGGGGAGCAAACAGGAUUAGAUACCCUUGUAGUC